UUAAGCGACUAAGCGUACACGGUGGAUGCCCUGGCAGUCAGAGGCGAUGAAGGACGUGCUAAUCUGCGAUAAGCGUCGGUAAGGUGAUAUGAACCGUUAUAACCGGCGAUUUCCGAAUGGGGAAACCCAGUGUGAUUUGUCACACUAUCAUUAACUGAAUCCAUAGGUUAAUGAGGCGAACCGGGGGAACUGAAACAUCUAAGUACCCCGAGGAAAAGAAAUCAACCGAGAUUCCCCCAGUAGCGGCGAGCGAACGGGGAGGAGCCCAGAGCCUGAAUCAGUGUGUGUGUUAGUGGAAGCGUCUGGAAAGGCGCGCGAUACAGGGUGACAGCCCCGUACACAAAAAUGCACAUGCUGUGAGCUCGAUGAGUAGGGCGGGACACGUGGUAUCCUGUCUGAAUAUGGGGGGACCAUCCUCCAAGGCUAAAUACUCCUGACUGACCGAUAGUGAACCAGUACCGUGAGGGAAAGGCGAAAAGAACCCCGGCGAGGGGAGUGAAAAAGAACCUGAAACCGUGUACGUACAAGCAGUGGGAGCCUCUUUAUGGGGUGACUGCGUACCUUUUGUAUAAUGGGUCAGCGACUUAUAUUCUGUAGCAAGGUUAACCGAAUAGGGGAGCCGAAGGGAAACCGAGUCUUAACUGGGCGUUAAGUUGCAGGGUAUAGACCCGAAACCCGGUGAUCUAGCCAUGGGCAGGUUGAAGGUUGGGUAACACUAACUGGAGGACCGAACCGACUAAUGUUGAAAAAUUAGCGGAUGACUUGUGGCUGGGGGUGAAAGGCCAAUCAAACCGGGAGAUAGCUGGUUCUCCCCGAAAGCUAUUUAGGUAGCGCCUCGUGAAUUCAUCUCCGGGGGUAGAGCACUGUUUCGGCAAGGGGGUCAUCCCGACUUACCAACCCGAUGCAAACUGCGAAUACCGGAGAAUGUUAUCACGGGAGACACACGGCGGGUGCUAACGUCCGUCGUGAAGAGGGAAACAACCCAGACCGCCAGCUAAGGUCCCAAAGUCAUGGUUAAGUGGGAAACGAUGUGGGAAGGCCCAGACAGCCAGGAUGUUGGCUUAGAAGCAGCCAUCAUUUAAAGAAAGCGUAAUAGCUCACUGGUCGAGUCGGCCUGCGCGGAAGAUGUAACGGGGCUAAACCAUGCACCGAAGCUGCGGCAGCGACACUAUGUGUUGUUGGGUAGGGGAGCGUUCUGUAAGCCUGUGAAGGUGGCCUGUGAGGGUUGCUGGAGGUAUCAGAAGUGCGAAUGCUGACAUAAGUAACGAUAAAGCGGGUGAAAAGCCCGCUCGCCGGAAGACCAAGGGUUCCUGUCCAACGUUAAUCGGGGCAGGGUGAGUCGACCCCUAAGGCGAGGCCGAAAGGCGUAGUCGAUGGGAAACAGGUUAAUAUUCCUGUACUUGGUGUUACUGCGAAGGGGGGACGGAGAAGGCUAUGUUGGCCGGGCGACGGUUGUCCCGGUUUAAGCGUGUAGGCUGGUUUUCCAGGCAAAUCCGGAAAACUAAGGCUGAGGCGUGAUGACGAGGCACUACGGUGCUGAAGCAACAAAUGCCCUGCUUCCAGGAAAAGCCUCUAAGCAUCAGGUAACAUCAAAUCGUACCCCAAACCGACACAGGUGGUCAGGUAGAGAAUACCAAGGCGCUUGAGAGAACUCGGGUGAAGGAACUAGGCAAAAUGGUGCCGUAACUUCGGGAGAAGGCACGCUGAUAUGUAGGUGAAGCGACUUGCUCGUGGAGCUGAAAUCAGUCGAAGAUACCAGCUGGCUGCAACUGUUUAUUAAAAACACAGCACUGUGCAAACACGAAAGUGGACGUAUACGGUGUGACGCCUGCCCGGUGCCGGAAGGUUAAUUGAUGGGGUUAGCGGUAACGCGAAGCUCUUGAUCGAAGCCCCGGUAAACGGCGGCCGUAACUAUAACGGUCCUAAGGUAGCGAAAUUCCUUGUCGGGUAAGUUCCGACCUGCACGAAUGGCGUAAUGAUGGCCAGGCUGUCUCCACCCGAGACUCAGUGAAAUUGAACUCGCUGUGAAGAUGCAGUGUACCCGCGGCAAGACGGAAAGACCCCGUGAACCUUUACUAUAGCUUGACACUGAACAUUGAGCCUUGAUGUGUAGGAUAGGUGGGAGGCUUUGAAGUGUGGACGCCAGUCUGCAUGGAGCCGACCUUGAAAUACCACCCUUUAAUGUUUGAUGUUCUAACGUUGACCCGUGAUCCGGGUUGCGGACAGUGUCUGGUGGGUAGUUUGACUGGGGCGGUCUCCUCCUAAAGAGUAACGGAGGAGCACGAAGGUUGGCUAAUCCUGGUCGGACAUCAGGAGGUUAGUGCAAUGGCAUAAGCCAGCUUGACUGCGAGCGUGACGGCGCGAGCAGGUGCGAAAGCAGGUCAUAGUGAUCCGGUGGUUCUGAAUGGAAGGGCCAUCGCUCAACGGAUAAAAGGUACUCCGGGGAUAACAGGCUGAUACCGCCCAAGAGUUCAUAUCGACGGCGGUGUUUGGCACCUCGAUGUCGGCUCAUCACAUCCUGGGGCUGAAGUAGGUCCCAAGGGUAUGGCUGUUCGCCAUUUAAAGUGGUACGCGAGCUGGGUUUAGAACGUCGUGAGACAGUUCGGUCCCUAUCUGCCGUGGGCGCUGGAGAACUGAGGGGGGCUGCUCCUAGUACGAGAGGACCGGAGUGGACGCAUCACUGGUGUUCGGGUUGUCAUGCCAAUGGCACUGCCCGGUAGCUAAAUGCGGAAGAGAUAAGUGCUGAAAGCAUCUAAGCACGAAACUUGCCCCGAGAUGAGUUCUCCCUGACUCCUUGAGAGUCCUGAAGGAACGUUGAAGACGACGACGUUGAUAGGCCGGGUGUGUAAGCGCAGCGAUGCGUUGAGCUAACCGGUACUAAUGAACCGUGAGGCUUAACCUU
rnacentral:rRNA from 1 species